rnacentral:rRNA from 1 species
UGGGGAAUAUUGGACAAUGGGCGAAAGCCUGAUCCAGCAAUGCCGCGUGAGUGAUGAAGGCCUUAGGGUUGUAAAGCUCUUUUACCCGGGAUGAUAAUGACAGUACCGGGAGAAUAAGCCCCGGCUAACUCCGUGCCAGCAGCCGCGGUAAUACGGAGGGGGCUAGCGUUGUUCGGAAUUACUGGGCGUAAAGCGCGCGUAGGCGGCUUUGUAAGUUAGAGGUGAAAGCCCGGAGCUCAACUUCGGAAUUGCCUUUAAGACUGCAUCGCUAGAAUCGUGGAGAGGUGAGUGGAAUUCCGAGUGUAGAGGUGAAAUUCGUAGAUAUUCGGAAGAACACCAGUGGCGAAGGCGACUCACUGGACACGUAUUGACGCUGAGGUGCGAAAGCGUGGGGAGCAAACAGAUUAGAUACCCUGGUAGUCCAACGCCGUAAAACGNUGAUGACUAGCUGUCGGGGCUCUUAGAGUUUCGGUGGCGCAGCUAACGCGUUAAGUCAUCCGCCUGGGGAGUACGGCCGCAAGGUUAAAACUCAAAUGAAUUGACGGGGUCAUAGCUGUUUCCU